GCGUGGGAAAUCUGCCGAGUAGCGGGGGACAACGUUUGGAAACGAACGCUAAUACCGCACAACAAUGAGAAUCGCAUGAUUCUGAUUUAAAAGAAGCAACUGCUUCACUACUUGAUGAUCCCGCGUUGUAUUAGCUAGUUGGUAGUGUAAAGGACUACCAAGGCGAUGAUACAUAGCCGGCCUGAGAGGGUGAACGGCCACACUGGGACUGAGACACGGCCCAGACUCCUACGGGAGGCAGCAGUAGGGAAUCUUCGGCAAUGGGGGCAACCCUGACCGAGCAACGCCGCGUGAGUGAAGAAGGUUUUCGGAUCGUAAAACUCUGUUGUUAGAGAAGAACGUUAAGUAAAGUGGAAAGUUACUUAAGUGACGGUAUCUAACCAGAAAGGGACGGCUAACUACGUGCCAGCAGCCGCGGUAAUACGUAGGUCCCGAGCGUUGUCCGGAUUUAUUGGGCGUAAAGCGAGCGCAGGUGGUUCCUUAAGUCUGAUGUAAAAGGCAGUGGCUCAACCAUUGUGUGCAUUGGAAACUGGGGAACUUGAGUGCAGGAGAGGGGAGUGGA
rnacentral:rRNA from 1 species